rnacentral:rRNA from 1 species
GACGAACGCUGGCGGCGUGCUUAACACAUGCAAGUCGAACGGUGAAGCGCCUUCCUUUUUGGUGGGUGUGGAUGAGUGGCGAACGGGUGAGUAACACGUGAGUAACCUGCCCCCUUCUUCUGGAUAACCGCAUGAAAGUGUGGCUAAUACGGGAUAUUCUGGGUCUGUCGCAUGAUGGGUCUGGGAAAGAUAUUGUUUCGGUGGGGGAUGGGCUCGCGGCCUAUCAGCUUGUUGGUGGGGUGAUGGCCUACCCAGGCGGUGACGGGUAGCCGGCCUGAGAGGGUGGACGGUCACAAUGGGACUGAGACACGGUGCAGACUCGUACGGGAGGCAGCAGUGGGGAAUAUUGCACAAUGGGCGCAAGCCUGAUGCAGCGACGCCGCGUGAGGGAUGGAGGCCUUCGGGUUGUGAACCUCUUUCGCCAGUGAAGCAGGCCUGCCUCGUUUGUGGGUGGGUUGACGGUAGCUGGAUAAGAAGCGCCGGCUAACUACGUG